GAUGAACGCUGGCGGCGUGCCUAAUACAUGCAAGUCGAGCGAACAGACGAGGAGCUUGCUCCUCUGACGUUAGCGGCGGACGGGUGAGUAACACGUGGAUAACCUACCUAUAAGACUGGGAUAACUUCGGGAAACCGGAGCUAAUACCGGAUAAUAUAUUGAACCGCAUGGUUCAAUAGUGAAAGACGGUUUUGCUGUCACUUAUAGAUGGAUCCGCGCCGCAUUAGCUAGUUGGUAAGGUAACGGCUUACCAAGGCAACGAUGCGUAGCCGACCUGAGAGGGGGAUCGGCCACACUGGAACUGAGACACGGUCCAGACUCCGACGGGAGGCAGCAGUAGGGAAUCUUGCGCAAUGGGCGAAAGCCUGACGGAGCAAUGCCGCGGGAGUGAUGAAGGUCUUCGGAUCGUAAAACUCUGUUAUUAGGGAAGAACAAAAGUGUGAGUAAAUAGGCACGUCUUGACGGUACCUAAUCAGAAAGCCACGGCUAACUACGUG
rnacentral:rRNA from 1 species